UACGUAGGCAGCAAGCGUUGUCCGGAAUUAUUGGGCGUAAAGCGCGCGCAGGCGGUCGUUCAAGUCGAGUGUGAAAGCCCCCGGCUCAACUGGGAGGGUCAUUCGAUACUGAUCGACUGGAAGGCAGGAGAGGGAAGCGGAAUUCCCGGUGUAGUGGUGAAAUGCGUAGAUAUCGGGAGGAACAUCAGUGCGAAGGCGGCUGUCUGGCCCAAUACUGACACUCAGGUGCGACAGCGUGGGGAGCAAACAGG
rnacentral:rRNA from 1 species